rnacentral:rRNA from 1 species
CCUACGGGCGGCAGCAGUGAGGAAUAUUGGUCAAUGGACGCAAGUCUGAACCAGCCAUGCCGCGUGCAGGAAGACGGCCCUAUGAGUUGUAAACUUCUUUUGUACGAGAGUAAAAGCAGGGACGCGUACCUGUCUGAAAGUACCUUACGAAUAAGGAUCGGCUAACUCCGUGCCAGCAGCCGCGGUAAUACGGAGGAUUCAAGCGUUAUCCGGAUUUAUUGGGUUUAAAGGGUGCGUAGGCGGUCGGUUAAGUUAGAGGUGAAAGCCCGAGGCUCAACUUCGGAAUUGCCUUUGAUACUGGUAGGCUAGAGAGUAGUUGAGGUAGGCGGAAUGUGUGGUGUAGCGGUGAAAUGCUUAGAGAUCACGCAGAACACCGAUUGCGAAGGCAGCUUACCAAGCUAAUACUGACGUUGAGGCACGAAAGCGUGGGUAGCAAACAGGAUUAGAUACCCUAGUAGUC